CUAGCCCAGUGGCUUCCAAACCUGGAGGGUCGGCCUAUUUUCUUUAUUCUACAAGUGCCUCCACUGUGCAGCAAAGUGUGGAAACCACUUGGCUUGAGAGAGCUGGGUCCUCUGGAGCAGUUCAGGGUCACCACAGAAGUAGGCCGUCUCUUGGGCCUAUUCGCCCCAGCUUCGAGGUGGUGGUGCUUUAUUAGUGUUAUUAAGGCUAGAGUGCAGUGGUGCGAUCUCGGCUCACUACAACUCCUACCUCCUGAGUUCAAGCGAUUCUCCUGCCUCAGCCUCCCGAGUAGCCAGGACUACAGUGUCGAGGUCAUGAAAGCCACUGAAAGACUGAGAACUGUUCCAGAAAGGAGACUAGAGAGACAUGGCAGCCAAAUGCUCCACAUAAUCCUGUCCUGGAUUCUUCUCCUACAAAGGAAGGGGUCUGAGGAUUAGGUGGUAGUACUGAAUCAAGGAACUAUCAUCUCCUAUUGUGCUGUAGGCAAACUUGAGUGACAUGGUGGAAGCCACCAGAGAGAAUAUCUGAAGCAAUUCAUUAAAAUCUUGGCAGCCAGACCCCAGCUCCCACUUUCCCUGAAAGCUCCCUUUAAUGAAGCUGAACGCUGUCCCAGCAAUUCCCUCCACAGAAGACCUACUGUCACCACCUCUGGAGGGGCAAUUCCUGGAGGAACCAAGUCAGCCAAUCGAAGGUCCUGAAUAAGCAAAAACUAAGUAAAUAAAUUACCAUCUCGAAA
rnacentral:lncRNA from 1 species